AAUUCUCAACCUCACCAGUUUUGUAAUGAGACAGGUGAAGGCUUGGAUGUGGGGGUUUGCAGGCUGCCUCAGUGCUGGUCUGCUCCUCUGAAAUGCAUUAGCGAGCUCAUAUUGAGCUUCCGUCUAUUGGUGUGAUAACUAUCUAUGCCGUGGAUUGGAACUCAUGCUUGCUUCUAACCGUCCGCAGGGACAAUUUACUUGACCA
rnacentral:misc_RNA from 1 species